UGACAGUCACAAAGUUAGUUUUCACGCUUCAGUCAGUCAGCUGUGUUGGAUUUGUUGAUGUCUAUAAAAACAGUAAUGGAAAGCGGUAAUACGGAAAUUGAAGAGACCUCAGUUGUAGCCGCAAUCAAGCCCGAGACCAAGGUACUGUCAAUUGGAGAUGACGAAGACCUAAUUAGAGACAAGUCAGAAGAAAACAAGGAAAACUCAUUUCAUGAUGCUGUUCGAAAACGUUUGUGUGCACUAACAACGGGUAUUAAAAGUCCCCUCGAGCCUAUUGUAAUAGGGAGUUCAGUGAAUAACUUUGGUGCGGCUCGUAUUAUGAAAAAUAAUAAGCCCAGUCAAUAUCGUUUUUACUGUCUAAAAGGCAACGAUUGGAGAUCUCAUAUGAUUAUAUCUGGCCUAACAUUCAAUGCAAAGGAUGCUUUUAAAUAUGUGAAAAAUAGACUAAAAGAGGAAACCUGGAUAUCUGAGGAUACCAUAGAAGCUCCACUGAAAACAAACGGUAAUGGUGGCUUUCGCCUCGAAUCCGAUUUGUAUAUUCAAAAUAUUGUUGCGGAAGCACUUGAUGCAGAAUGGAAAAGGUUGCUUAAUUUCAUAAUAUUUUUACACAGAAAUUAUCGAUAAUAUUCUAAUAUAUGAAGACCAAUCUGAUAGCAUAAAAGUGUAUUGCAGCUUUAUCUAGCUGAAACGAAAAGCUUUAAUUGAAAGCUUUUGCCACAGUUGCGAAAUUACUAACGAUUAGUAUUUGGCCGGCUGCAGUGUAUAUAUAGCGUCAUCGAAGACUGUUGCCAAUAAGAAAGCUACAGAUAGUCAAGCCGAGCAGUUCCAAAAUUACAAUAAUAAUAAAUAAUAUGAAUAUCGAAAACGAGAUAGAAGAUAAAAAUGGUAAUUGAAAUUUCGUGUAUUGCAAGACAAGAAAAAAAGUAAAUAUAUAAAUAAAAUUCCAAUUGUUUACCAUUUAAAGCUCUGGCGACACAGACAUCGACUACAAAAGUUUUGGCCAUAGGAAAUCCGACAGAGGUCAUAAAUUGCCCAAGCCCGGAACAUACUAAAAAUAAUAAUAAUAAUUCCAACAAGGUAAAACAAUUUAAAGAGGAAUGCACCAAUUAUUUGAGUUUAGUUCUGAUGGGAAAUCCAACGCCAGUCGACGAUGUCAGCGGCUUGUGUCCCAUUGAAUGGUUUGGAAUGGAAGUUAUCCGCAAAGCGAAUCAGCCUACUUGUUAUAAGUUUUACUGUUUUCCCGCACAGAGAACCCAACCUAAGCACGUUAAUGUAUAUUACUUCUACCAGACAAUUAAUGCAAAUGCCAUUUUGCGCGAUGUUAGGCGAUUUUUGAAGGAGGAACGUUGGAUGUCUAAACAUCUUUUAAUGGGGCCACUGAAGGCAAAACUAACUCCUAGUGCCUUUAGCUCUGAGCAAACUCAUAUUGAAACUUUUAUUUCUAAGGCCUUCGAUAUUGAGAGAAGGAAGGCAUUACCGUACCUGUUGUACUGUCACAGAGAACAUGUACAAAAUAAGAAGUAUCGUAAAUAAAUUAAAUAAUAGCUGUACUUUAUGUAUAUUUUAAAAUUUUCAUUAAUAUAAGCAAAACAACAAACUUACAGAUCUCUCAUUUCUGAGGACGUAAUAUAUCUACACGAAAACAUUACUGUAAGCUCAAGCGAACAGCUGUUGGAUGUAAACAACAAACUUAAAAAAAAUAAUAAUGAUACGAAAAGCUUUAAGAGAGUAGCUUACAUACAUAUAUAUAUGUACAUGUACGAAUAAAUAGCAAUACGAUUUCAAAGUGAGAUGCAUAUGUGUAAACGUAAGCGAAAAGUAAACAUGGAAAUCAAUAAAACAGAAAUUGAAGAAAAGUCAGCCAUAGCUAAAUUGACAUAUACUCAAAAAGUAUUAUCAAUUGGAGAUGACGAAAGCACAGCGAGUGAAAAAUCUGUUGAGAAUCGUAACGCGGAUAUUUUACAAGAGAGUUUCAGAAAACAUUUGUGCCAGCUCUUAACUGGGAGCCGAAUAGCCAUCGAAGUUGUUGAAGAUUGGAAUAGAGUGGAUAGAUUUGGAGUAACUAGUAUUAAAAAAGAUAAACAACCCAGGCGCUAUCAUUUUUAUCUGGUGCAUGGGAAUAUUUACAAGCCGGGUGAUAUUUUCUCUGAGCCGGUAUUCGAUGGAAAGGCAAUCAUGGAGGUUGUAAGGAAUCGACUAAUUGGUGAGAAUUGGAUAUCAGAAAACGUCAUUGAAACACCUCUCAGAACUAAAUUCGAUCGUAGUCUAUACCACAGCUCCGAUCAAUUCAUUCAGCAAGUUGUUUCGGAUGCUCUGAACACAGAAGCGCCGAAACUCUUUAGGUUCCUGCAAUUCUUACAUAGAAAUAGGCAUAAAUAAAUACCUUCAGUAAAGUAAAAUAAAUAAUAAUUAUUUUAAAAAAGUACCAAUUCUGUACAAAACUUGAUACUAUAUUAAACUGAUUAUAUUUGAGCUAUUGUAAAUAAAUAUAUAAUUU